rnacentral:rRNA from 1 species
UCCGUAGGCGGGAAGAUAAGUCAGUGGUGAAAGCCUGUGGCUCAACCAUAGAAUUGCCAUUGAUACUGUCUUUCUUGAGUGCACAUGAUGUGGGCGGAAUGUGUCGUGUAGCGAUGAAAUGCUUAGAUAUGACACAGAACACCGAUUGCGAAGGCAGCUCACAAAAGUGUAACUGACGCUGAGGGACGAAAGCGUGGGGAGCGAACAGGAUUAGAUACCCUGGUAGUCC